AGCUGGCCACCCCCAACCAAACGGUGAGAAAGCGAAAAUCAAAACCAGAGAGACUCCUUCUUCCGCGGGCCCCUCAUCAAUUGAAACAUUCUUCACUCUUUCUCCGCCUAACAGUUGACUUAAAAUUUGGAAGUGUUGGAAAUCAGGGGAAGGAUUGGUAAUUCCAAUCCAAUCCGAUAAGCAUUCAGUUUGACAAAAUUGUUUGCGUAUACCUGAUAUGGCUUCUGAAGCUCUCGAUUCUCUGCUACAAACUUUACGCCAAAUCCUUAACCGCAAGGAUGAUAUCAUCACUCCUCGUGUAAAACAACGAAUUAUAUCCAUCCACGACAAAGCUGUUCUCUUGCAACUGAAUCUCAAACAUUUUCCAAAAGAAGCAACAAUCAGGGAGGUAGUAAAUACAACACAAGAGAUUAUUGAGUAUAUUUUCUCCCCAGAAAAUAUCUCAGAUUGUGCGUCCACAGAGGCGAGUGUGAGACUUUCAAUCCAGUUGGGGGAAUUGGCAGAGGAGCUCGCCUCAACUGCCGGAGAUGUGGUGGACUACUGCAAGAGUCCCGACGACCUAGUCAACAACGUAAGAAGGCGGAGUGACUCAUCAUCAAGAUCUGCGAUAGAGCUGAUUGUUAACCUUAUAUACCUGUUGGUGAGAGUGGUGAGAAUUAUGUCGACUGCUAGAUACUUUGUAGACUAUUAUUUCGGUCUUGAUGAUUUGGUGGCUGGUAGAUACUUUGUAAACUACUCUCGUUUUGUUGGUUAUUUUGAUUACUCGAAGCAUCUUAAUGAUUUGAAGGAUUUUGAUGUUGAUUUGAGAGUAGCAACAGAGCUGACUGUCAGCAUUUCAAUCCGGUUUCUGAGCUUAGCGGAGAGAAUUAUGUCAACAACUAGUGACUCACUUGACAACGUAGGACGACUGAGUGAUUCUCCCGCAUCAUCAAGAUUUGAAUUCAAGAGUGAAGAUUUUGAUGGUCUUGAUGAAGAUCUGAUAUUAGCAACAGCGCUGUUUGUCAGUUCAAACCGUUUGGCGAGAUUAGGGGAGAGAAUUAAGUGGACUGCUCGAGACUUAGUAGACAACUCUAACCCUGUUGAUUCAUCACCAACAUCUGCUCUCAAGAUUGAAGAUUUUGAUGGUUUUGGUGAAGAUCUGGAUUCAGUGAGCAUGCGGACUCUCGACAUUUCACACCUGUUGGGGAGAUUUGUGGAGAGAAUUAUGUCAACUGCUAAAGAUUCGGUUGCUAACACAGGAAGAUUUAGUGAUUCUCUAGCUGUUGCAACAGAGCUGAUUGACAGCAUUUCAAACCGGUUGGAGAGAUUAGCGGAGAGAAUUAUGUCAACUGCUGAAGAUUCAGUGAACAACUUAGGACGACUGAGUGAUUCUCCAGCUGUUGAUUCAUCAUCAAGAUCUGCACUCAGGAGUGAAGAUUUUGGUGGUUUUGAUGAAGAUCUCACUGUAGCAACAGAGUUGACUGUCAGCAUUUCAAACCGGUUGGGGAGAUUAGCGGAGAGAAUUAAGUGGACUGCUGUUGGUUCAUCAUCAAGAUCUUUACCGACAAGCAAGGAUGUUGUGGUUGGUUUUGAUGAAGAUAGGUUGCAGAUUAUGUCAUGGCUUACAAGCUAUUCAUCCGAGCUGCAAGUCCUCCCUAUUGUGGGAAUGGGAGGCAUUGAUGCAGAGUAUUGAUGGAGCUAGCCAGCUUAUAAGAUAUUCGACUUAUGAAUGAAGCAGAGAGUUAAAGAUCACCCUGAAGAGACCGAUUACAGUAAUUGGAGAAAGUGUUCAAAAUCUUGAAAGGCAAGAGGUAUUUCCUUGUAAUAUAUGAUGUUUGAUGUACAGAGGCUUCGGAUGAUGUAAGAAAUAUACUUCCCGAUGAUGGUAAUGGAAGCCGAGUCAUGUUAACGACAAGAGAAACUGAUGUGGCUGCUUAUGCUGAUCGUUUGAGCGGUUUCCACAAGAUGUGUUUGAUGAAUGAAGCUUAAAGUUGGAAUCUAUUUCAACAGAAGGUGUUUGCGCAUCAAGAUUGUCCUCCGAAAUUCGAGAAGAUUGGAAAUGAGAUUGCAAGAAGCUGCAAAGGGCUGCCCCUUGCAUUCGUGGUGGUUGCAGGGCUUCUAUCCGUGGUUAGCAACAAUGUAGCUUCAUGGAGCAAAAUUGCACGAAACGUAAAUUCAGUACUAAAAAUAUUUGAUCGUCGGCGGCUACGCUGCCGCUGCUAUUUAUGCCGCACAUUUAAAAAAAACGGGUCGACUACUCCACCGUCGGAGAGCCGCCGGGAAUCGCCGUCGGCCAUGCCGCCGGUGAUUUUCGCUGGGAAUCAUGCGUUUUUUUGUAGUGUCAAAUCUCACCCUUUUUUUAAAAGGUCAAAUUAUUAUGCUCUCAAGAUAGGCUAUCUUCACGAGAUAAGCACUUUUGGGGAUGACCCAAAAUUUUCCCGCGUGGUUUCCCAUGCUCAUGAUGCACAACAGAAACAUCAAAGGAGCAUAGACCCAUAACAAUCAAAACCAAUAGCCAACCAAACGAUACAAACCAGAGAAAAGAUAUUAGGCAAAAGCAUUGAAAACACUCCGCAUAGCAUCUACCGGACAAAUCACGGCGAAAAUUGCUCACCAAGGUGUUGCAUCCAAAACAUUAAGCAAAUAACACAACCCGGGCAACAUCGUAUCAAGAAGAAACAAAUAGCAGCCCGAAACAAACAUAACCCAAGAAACAAC